CCUACGGGAGGCAGCAGUAGGGAAUAUUGCACAAUGGGGGAAACCCUGAUGCAGCAACGCCGCGUGGGUGAUGAAGUUUUUCGGUUUGUAAAGUCCUAUCAUCAGAGAAGAUAAUGACGGUAUCUCACGAAUAAGCACCGGCUAACUCCGUGCCAGCAGCCGCGGUAAUACGUAGGGGGCAAGCGUUACUCGGAUUUACUGGGCGUAAAGGGUGCGCAGGCGGCCUUGUAAGUCUGAUGUGAAAUGCUGUGGCUUAACCACCGGACUGCAUUGGAAACUGUGAGUCUAGAGUGCGGGAGAGGUAAGUGGAAUUCCUGGUGUAGCGGUGAAAUGCGUAGAUAUCAGGAGGAAUACUCGUUGCGAAGGCGGCCUACUGGAACAUUACUGACGCUGAGGCACGAAAGCGUGGGGAGCAAACAGGAUUAGAUACCCGAGUAGUC
rnacentral:rRNA from 1 species